UCUCUUUGACCCAUUAUUGCAGACUUAAAAACAAGCAUGUUUUCAAAUAGCGCUCUGAGCUGCAAUGAUGUAUCACCACCAUAUCUCAUUAUUCUCCACUAAAUGUGAUAAUAAUGUGAUCUGUUAACAUAAAAAAAAGUUUGACUUCACAAAAGCAGCUGGAAAUGGACAACCACAAUAUGCAUAAAUCUAACUCCUACCCUCGGCUGCACACUGCUUGACACAUAUUGUAAGAAGCACCUCGCAUUUGCAGGCUCUCUUAAGCAAAAUACUUGCAUUAGGUCUCAGCUGGGGCUGUGCAUCAGGCAGUUUGGGAAAUAUUCAAUUCUCAGCAGAAGCCAGAAUUGGAAUUCUCUCAUUUGAGGACUCAGUUACCAGGUUUGGGGAGGAUUCAGGCGGCUCAGGUG
rfam:Oryctolagus cuniculus cont2.48439, whole genome shotgun sequence.